GCAUGGGCUCACUUCCUGUCUCUGUGCCACAUUUUAACUAAGGAGGAAAAGAAUUUGUGCUGUUUUUCCUGUACCAGAGAUGCCAUGGCCCACUCCCCUUUCCAGUUCUCCCCAAAGGGGAAAGCACAAACACAGUUCCCCACUAUGCUGUCAAGUUUCCCACAUUUGGGGAAACUGGAGGGGUCGGCACAUCCAGAGUGCAAUGGAUAAGCCUCGUCCUGGGAAAACCACCUUCAUGUGUCUCCCCUGUAAGGGGAACACUAUGGAGACGUCCACAGGGCUAGGAACUGAAGCGUGUAUCAACAGCAUGCAAGUGAGCCAUACUAGAAGCAAAACCUCCAGACCUGCACAAGUGUUCAGGUGACUGCAGUCCUGGCUGAUGUCUUGACUACAACCUCAUGAGAGACCCUGAGUCAGAACCAUCCAACUAAGCCACUUCCAAAUCCCCGACCCACAAAAAUCAUACUGUUCUAAACUACUAAAUUUUGGGAUAAUUUGUUACACAGCAAUAGCUAACUACUUUACCUUCCUUGACCUGAGUGUUAGGCUCUCUCUCCUAAUGGUAUCCCCUCCUCUUCUGAGAGUUUAAUUUCAUUUCCAUCCACAUUGUUUACUGAAGUAACUGUCAUGCCGAUAUAACAUGAUCCUAUCCUCUGUCUUUUUGAUCCAGAAGUGGGUACCUGAC